rnacentral:rRNA from 1 species
AGAGCGAGCGCUGGCGGAAUGCUUAACACAUGCAAGUCGCACGGCCAGCAAUGGCAGUGGCGGACGGGUGAGUAACGCGUAGGAAUAUGUCCAGAGGUGGGGGACAACCCCGGGAAACUGGGGCUAAUACCGCAUAUGAGCUGAGGCUCAAAGCAGUGAUGCGCCUUUGGAGUAGCCUGCGUCCGAUUAGCUUGUUGGUGGGGUAAUGGCCUACCAAGGCGACGAUCGGUAGCUGGUCUGAGAGGACGGCCAGCCACACUGGGACUGAGACACGGCCCAGACUCCUACGGGAGGCAGCAGUGGGGAAUAUUGGACAAUGGGCGCAAGCCUGAUCCAGCAAUUCCGCGUGGGUGAAGAAGGUCUUCGGGAUUGUAAAGCCCUUUCGACGGGUACGAUGAUGACGGUACCCGUAGAAGAAGCCCGGCUAACUUCGUGCCAGCAGCCGC